rnacentral:rRNA from 1 species
GAUGAACGCUGGCGGCGUGCCUAAUACAUGCAAGUCGAGCGAACUGAUUAGAAGCUUGCUUCUACGACGUUAGCGGCGGACGGGUGAGUAACACGUGGGCAACCUGCCUGUAAGACUAGGAUAACUUCGGGAAACCGAAGCUAAUACCGGAUAGGAUCUUCUCCUUCAUGGGAGAUGAUUGAAAGAUGGUUUCGGCUAUCACUUACAGAUGGGCCCGCGGUGCAUUAGCUAGUUGGUGAGGUAACGGCUCACCAAGGCAACGAGGCAUAGCCGACCUGAGAGGGUGAUCGGCCACACUGGGACUGAGACACGGCCCAGACUCCUACGGGAGGCAGCAGUAGGGAAUCACCGCAAUGGACGAAAGUCUGACGGAGCAACGCCGCGUGAGUGAUGAAGGCUUUCGGGUCGUAAAACUCUGUUGUUAGGGAAGAACAAGUACAAGAGUAACUGCUUGUGCCUUGACGGUACCUAACCAGAAAGCCACGGCUAACUACGUGCCAGCCGCCGCAGUAAAAC